GACGUAGGGCGCGAGCGUUGUCCGGAUUUAUUGGGCGUAAAGAGCUCGUAGGCGGCUUGUCGCGUCGACCGUGAAAACUCACAGCUCAACUGUGAGCUUGCGGUCGAUACGGGCAGGCUAGAGUUCGGUAGGGGAGACUGGAAUUCCUGGUGUAGCGGUGAAAUGCGCAGAUAUCAGGGGGAACACCGGUGGCGAAGGCGGGUCUCUGGGCCGAUACUGACGCUGAGGAGCGAAAGCGUGGGGAGCGAACAGG
rnacentral:rRNA from 1 species